CGGGUAAGUUCCGACCUGCACGAAUGGCGUAAUGAUGGCCAGGCUGUCUCCACCCGAGACUCAGUGAAAUUGAACUCGCUGUGAAGAUGCAGUGUACCCGCGGCAAGACGGAAAGACCCCGUGAACCUUUACUAUAGCUUGACACUGAACAUUGAGCCUUGAUGUGUAGGAUAGGUGGGAGGCUUUGAAGCGUGGACGCCAGUCUGCGUGGAGCCAACCUUGAAAUACCACCCUUUAAUGUUUGAUGUUCUAACGUUGGCCCCUGACCGGGGUUGCGGACAGUGUCUGGUGGGUAGUUUGACUGGGGCGGUCUCCUCCCAAAGCGUAACGGAGGAGCACGAAGGUUAGCUAAUCCUGGUCGGACAUCAGGAGGUUAGUGCAAUGGCAUAAGCUAGCUUGACUGCGAGCGUGACGGCGCGAGCAGGUGCGAAAGCAGGUCAUAGUGAUCCGGUGGUUCUGAAUGGAAGGGCCAUCGCUCAACGGAUAAAAGGUACUCCGGGGAUAACAGGCUGAUACCGCCCAAGAGUUCAUAUCGACGGCGGUGUUUGGCACCUCGAUGUCGGCUCAUCACAUCCUGGGGCUGAAGUAGGUCCCAAGGGUAUGGCUGUUCGCCAUUUAAAGUGGUACGCGAGCUGGGUUUAGAACGUCGUGAGACAGUUCGGUCCCUAUCUGCCGUGGGCGCUGGAGAAUUGAGGGGGGCUGCUCCUAGUACGAGAGGACCGGAGUGGACGCAUCACUGGUGUUCGGGUUGUCAUGCCAAUGGCACUGCCCGGUAGCUAAAUGCGGAAGAGAUAAGUGCUGAAAGCAUCUAAGCACGAAACUUGCCCCGAGAUGAGUUCUCCCUGAGACUUUAAGUCUCCUGAAGGAACGUUGAAGACGACGACGUUGAUAGGCCGGGUGUGUAAGCGCAGCGAUGCGUUGAGCUAACCGGUACUAAUGAACCGUGAGGCUUAACCUU
rnacentral:rRNA from 1 species